AACGCACCUUGCGCCCUUUGGUUAUUCCGAAGGGCAUGCCUGUUUGAGUAUCAUGAAAACCUCAACUCUCAUGGUUUGCCGUGAUGAGCUUGGACUUUGGGGGUCUUGCUGGCCUAUGGUCGGCUCCUCUCAAACGAAUCAGCUUGCCAGUGUUUGGUGGCAUCACAGGUGUGAUAACUAUCUACGCUUGUGGUUUCUCACCAGGUAACCUUCAGCGAUGGAGGUUCGCUGGAGCUCACAAAUGUCCCUCCUCAGCGAGGACCUUUGAACGUUUGAUCUCAAAUCAGGUAGGACUACCCGCUGAACUUAA
rnacentral:rRNA from 1 species